CUUCAAGCAACAACAACAUUCACCACUUGGAUUUACAUCAUUCAUCUCUAAAAUAAAUACCUGUGGACAAAUGAAACACAAACACCUGAGGGAUGCUCACGUCUUCAAAGGUGUGUCCAGCCAGCCCCCCUCCCCAUACAACGAGAUGCAACACCUCCCGGAGAGGAGCGAUGGAAGAUACAGAGAAGGAGAUCAUUGUGCUGACGGAUUACGAGAGGGAGGAAAAGGAUGUUUUGAAGUGGAGCACCUGAACUGCUGAAGGACGCUUUACCUGCGUGGAUCUGCUGGAUUAUUACCUGUGUGACACCUGGGCAGACUGCUGCAGUGGAUUAUUACAGAUUUGUUCCUGUCACAGUGAAUGGGUCGUCUCCUGAAGUCUCGUCUUGCAACACACACACACACCGAGUUUUCAUACACUCUCAUUUCACCACUUUUAUACAAGUAACACAUUGAAGGACUUCCUCAAACAGUGCUGACAUUUUUAACCAUGCCAUCAAAUGAUCCAUCUCAUGUGUGCCAACUUUUCGCCAAGU